rnacentral:lncRNA from 1 species
AUGCCGUACCAUGAUGAGGAGCACCCCGGCCAGCCGCUGUGGCAGUCCGUGCUGAUGUUCUGCUGCAAGGGCAUGAUCGAAGGCAUCAUGGUCAUCCUCUUCUUCUGGCUCCUGGUGCAGGUCCUGUUCACCAAACAAUUAGAAGUCCAGCUCCAGAUCCUCCUCUUGUCGGGCCUGAUAGUCUUCUGCCUGUGUCUGGUGCUGGGCUGUGCCCUCUGCUGGCGGAGCACCCGGACCCCGUCGUCCGAUCCCAAAGAGCGCGGGACGACGGUCGCCCCGGCCCCCGAGGAGCCCGUCGCCCGUCCCCAGGACCCGCCCCCGCCGGCUCCCUCAGCCGCCGCCGCGGGGCCGCCGUACGACGAGCUGGACGGCGACAUUCUGGAAUACCCCUCCACCUCCUGCUGCUCCACGCCUUCGGAGGACGUGUUCGCCUCCCUGACCUCGUCGCCCUGCGCCCGCUCGUCUCCCCGCGGCACGCCGCUGUGUCCGUCGGCUCGGCCCGCCGAGCGCGGCCGCGCCUCCCUGCCUUCCUUCCCCAGGCUGGGGCUGUGGUCCAAGACGCGUCGGAUCCUGGAGCGCCGCUGCACGGUGACGGGGGACCAGGUCUCGUACAGCGAGCGCCUGCGGCUCACCGGCCCCGGGGGGGCCUCCCCGCCCACGGCGGAGGAGCCCAUCCCCCUGGCGCCGCUGUACUACGGCUCCGGACGUGCCGCCACGCCCGCCGCCGGCGCCAGCGCCAGCCCCUGGAUCCACUUCACCGUGGCCUUCUCCCCGGAGCAGCGCGCGCUGACCGUCACCAUCCACAGCCUUACGGGAACCAGCUACCGCCUGGAGGACGUGUGGGCCGAGGGCAGCCUGUGCCCCGGGACUGGGAAGGCCUCUGGGCAUAAUGGCGGCCUGGACUCCCAGCCCCAGAGUCUGGUGCUGGUGCUGACUGUGAGCUCUGUGGAGGAGCUCCGACGCGGCACGCUCAGACUGUCUCUGCACACGCAGCAUCGCCCCCCCCGGCCCGAGGGCUCCCUUCUGGGGGAGCUGGAGGUCCAGUGUGCAGACAAAGACUGGACAGCGGAUCGUCCGAUCCACUUCACUAAAGAACUCAGUGGCACCAAGUGUGCACGGAAAAUGAGUGUGAACUCCGUGGAAGCGCCGCCGUUGAGCAAGCCGGGGCUUAGUUGCUCGCCGCAGAUCUUAGCUCAACUCUUCAUUCUGCUUCAGUAUCAGACCCUUGCCCAUCGCGUCAAAGCCAUGGUCCUUAAAGUAGCCCAGCAAGACAGCCUCUCCCACUGGCCUGCUGCUCCAGGCUACCAGAUGGUGAUGAACUUGCACCAUGAAGGCACGUUGAUCUCCACCAAACAGACUUCAGGGUGGAACACCCCUUUCCUCUUUGACCUCCCUCCAGGAGAACUCAGUCUCAUGCAUAUAAACAUGGAGCUCAUCGUUAUGCAGGCAAGUAUCCCCACAUUGAGAUUACAAUGCAAUGCAUUCAAAUGUAUAUACACACACACACACACACACACACACACACACACACACACACACACACACACACACACACACACACACACACACACACACACACACACACACACACACACAACUUUCAACCAUAAACAUUUCUUAAUCUCAUUGUUUCCUACACGGCAGAACCAGAGCACGGUGCUCGGUCGAGUCCUGAUCGGCUCAGAGGCACCGGAGGCGGGACGCGCACACUGGAGGGAGAUGUGCAAUCAGGGACAGGUGGAGCGUGCUCAGUGGCACACCUUGCAGCCAGAACCUCUGUAG